rnacentral:rRNA from 1 species
AACGAACGCUGGCGGCAUGCCUAACACAUGCAAGUCGAACGGAUGGUUUCGGCCAUCAGUGGCGCACGGGUGAGUAACGCGUGGGAAUCUGCCCAGCAGUGGGGGAUAACCUCUGGAAACGGAGGCUAAUACCGCAUACGCCCCUCGGGGGAAAGGCUUGCUGCUGCUGGAGGAGCCCGCGUCGGAUUAGGUAGUUGGUGGGGUAACGGCCUACCAAGCCUGUGAUCCGUAGCUGGUCUGAGAGGAUGAUCAGCCACACUGGGACUGAGACACGGCCCAGACUCCUACGGGAGGCAGCAGUGGGGAAUAUUGGACAAUGGGCGCAAGCCUGAUCCAGCAAUGCCGCGUGAGUGAUGAAGGCCUUCGGGUUGUAAAGCUCUUUCGCCCACGACGAUGAUGACGGUAGUGGGAGAAGAAGCCCCGGCUAACUUCGUG